CCUACGGGGGGCAGCAGUCGAGAAUCAUUCACAAUGGGCGAAACCCUGAUGCUGCGACGCCGCGUGGGGGAAUGAAGGUCUUCGGAUUGUAAACCCCUGUCAUGUGGGAGCAAAUUAAAAAGAUAGUACCACAAGAGGAAGAGACGGCUAACUCUGUGCCAGCAGCCGCGGUAAUACAGAGGCCUUAAGCGUUGGUCGGAAUUACUGGGCGUAAAGCGUGCGUAGGCUGUUUCGUAAGUCGGAUGUGAAAGGCGCGGGCUCAACCCGCGGACUGCACAUGAUACUGCGAGGCUGGAGUGAUGGAGAGGGAACCGGAAUGCUCGGUGUAGCAGUGAAAUGCGUAGAUAUCGGGAGGAACACUCGUGGCGAAGGCGGGUUCCUGGACAUUAACUGACGCUGAGGCACGAAGGCCAGGGGAGCGAAAGGGAUUAGAUACCCGAGUAGUC
rnacentral:rRNA from 1 species